rnacentral:rRNA from 1 species
GACGAAGGAUGCAAGCGUUAUCCGGAUUCAUUGUUUUUAAAUGGAGCGUAGGUGGCCAAAUAAGUCAGUGGUGAAAUCUCGCAGCUUAACUGCGAAAUUGCCAUUGAUACUGUAUGGCUUGAGUAUAGUUGCCGUUGGCGGAAUAUGACAUGUAGUGGUGAAAUACAUAGAGAUGUCAUAGAACACCGAUUGCGAAGGCAGCUAACGAAACUAUAACUGACACUGAGGCUCGAAAGUGCGGGGAUCAAACAGG